UUUUGGUCAAACAAAGCUCGACUUUUCAAGUAAAGUACAGAUUCUAGCAACAGAGUCGGUGAGGUAAAUUGUUUAAGUGAUCUGUUUCUGAACAUUUGAGACGCCGGGCAGUCUCACCGCCUAUGCUACCCUCACUGGAGUCGCCCGCAUCCUAUCCUAUCCUAUCCCAACCCGACCAGGAAUCAUAUAUGGUGUGGUCUUUGUUGCCGACCGUCAUCAUCCUGCUGUGGUUCAUUUUGAAUAUGCGGUGAUUGUGUUAUCCGUGGAGGAUGGGGAUGUAAAUAAGCAAAUGAGGGGGGUGUGGUCUGAUAUACAUUGCAAUACUUUGUGGAGGUGUCAUGAAGGUAUUGCUAGUUCUUCAUAUCAGCUGAAACGGUCAUAGUGCAAAAUCUCCACCAUGUUUGGAGAGGUAUACUAUUGAAGAGUGCCGAUGACAAGAUGGAAUCCAGAACAAUGCUGUGAAGAUCAGCCAGUAGUUGAAACUGAAAGGAACCAAGUCAGAGAUAUAAUCUUUUUUUUUUCACUUUAAACUUUACUGCUAUCAAGUAAAAGUUAUGCUUCCUCUUUAGCUAGAAUCAGGAGCUAUUGAUGUGCUAAAUAUGUUUCCAAUUGAACUUCUAUGUAUUCUUACUGAAUAUAAUCACCGCUUUGAUGAACUUGCUCUA